rnacentral:rRNA from 2 species
UUUUGUAUAAUGGGUCAGCGACUUAUAUUCUGUAGCAAGGUUAACCGAAUAGGGGAGCCGAAGGGAAACCGAGUCUUAACUGGGCGUUAAGUUGCAGGGUAUAGACCCGAAACCCGGUGAUCUAGCCAUGGGCAGGUUGAAGGUUGGGUAACACUAACUGGAGGACCGAACCGACUAAUGUUGAAAAAUUAGCGGAUGACUUGUGGCUGGGGGUGAAAGGCCAAUCAAACCGGGAGAUAGCUGGUUCUCCCCGAAAGCUAUUUAGGUAGCGCCUCGUGAAUUCAUCUCCGGGGGUAGAGCACUGUUUCGGCAAGGGGGUCAUCCCGACUUACCAACCCGAUGCAAACUGCGAAUACCGGAGAAUGUUAUCACGGGAGACACACGGCGGGUGCUAACGUCCGUCGUGAAGAGGGAAACAACCCAGACCGCCAGCUAAGGUCCCAAAGUCAUGGUUAAGUGGGAAACGAUGUGGGAAGGCCCAGACAGCCAGGAUGUUGGCUUAGAAGCAGCCAUCAUUUAAAGAAAGCGUAAUAGCUCACUGGUCGAGUCGGCCUGCGCGGAAGAUGUAACGGGGCUAAACCAUGCACCGAAGCUGCGGCAGCGACGCUUAUGCGUUGUUGGGUA